AUAGUAUAGAGGACUAUCGUGGUUUUAACGGGUGACGGAGCAUUAGGGUGCGAUGCCGGAGAGGGAGCCUGAGAAACGGCUACCACGUCUACGGGCGGCAGCAGGCGCGUAAAUUACCCAAUCCUGACACAGGGAGGUAGUGACAAUAAAUAACAAUACUCGCCCCGACAAGGGGAGAGUAAUUGGAAUGAGAACGAUUUAAAACAACUAACGAGUAGCAAUUAGAGGGCAAGUCUGGUGCCAGCAGCCGCGGUAAUUCCAGCUCUAAUAGCGUAUUUUAAAGUUGUUGCAGUUAAAACGCUCGUAGUUGGACCUCGGAGUCCGGGUGUGAUUCGGUCCGCGUCAAAGUGAGUACUGACACAUCGGCUCUACCAAUGAGUGAUCCCCUGGUGCGCUUCACUGGGUGCCAGGAGCUGGCGGCGUCGCGUGCGGGCAACCGUGCGCGGCGUCGUCGGGGUUCUCAUUCGUUUACUUUGAAUAAAUUAGAGUGUUCAAAGCAGCCCGCUUGUACGGGCCUGAAUAAUCUAGCAUGGGAUAAUGGAAUAGGCUGUCGGCUUAUUUCGUUGGUUUCUGAGCCAGACAGAAUGAUUAAGAGGGACAGUUGGGGGUUUUCGUAUUCAAUUGUCAGAGGUGAAAUUCUAGGAUUUGUUGAAGACGAACUACUGCGAGAGCAUCAACCAAGGAUGUUUUCAUUAAUCAAGAACGAAAGUUAGGGGAUCGAAGACGAUCAGAUACCGUCGUAGUCUUAACCAUAAACGAUGCCGACCAGCAAUUCGGAGACGUUACAUUUGAAUGACUCCCCGAGCAGCUUGAGAGAAAUCAGAGUGUUUGGGUUCUGGGGGGAGUAUGAUCGCAAGGGGGAAACUUAAAGGAAUUGACGGAAGGGCACCACAAGGAGUGGAGCCUGCGGCUUAAUUUGACCCAACACGGGGAAGCUUACCAGGUCCAGACAAAGUAAGGAUUGACAGAUUGAGCGCUCUUUCUUGAUUCUUUGGGUGGUGGUGCAUGGCCGUUCUUAGUUGGUGGAGUGAUUUGUCUGGUUAAUUCCGAUAACGAACGAGACCUUAACCUGCUAAAUAGUCACUGGAAACUGCUGCAAAAGCGUUCGUCACGUCGGCGAGCUGAGGGGCAACCCGAGGCGCAAUGGUGUGGCGGGCGUGGUUGUUUCCGAGGAUGCACUUCUUAGAGGGACUUUCAGCUCUGAAGCUGAAGGAAGUUUCAGGCAAUAACAGGUCUGUGAUGCCCUUAGAUGUUCUGGGCCGCACGCGCGCUACAAUGAUUGAUUCAACAAGUAGACAACCUCCCCGGAAGGGUUGGGUAACCUUGCGAAAAUCAAUCGUGCUGAGGUUAGAUCAUUGUAAUUAUUGAUCUCUAAUCAGGAAUUCCUAGUAAGCGCGAGUUAUCAGCUCGCGUUGAUUACGUCCCCGCCCUUUGUACACACCGCCCGUCGCUACUACUGAUUGGAUGAUCCGGCCAGUU
rnacentral:rRNA from 1 species